rnacentral:lncRNA from 1 species
UUUUUUUAAUGCUUGGGCUCUCCAUACUGAGACAUGAAAAUACGUCUUUCCUUCUUGGAGAAAGAAGAGAACUUUUAAUGUUUCAUAUUUUGAAGAUGCCAUAAAGAAGAAAGCAAGACAGAAUUUGAAGAAUUGGGUAAAUACGCAUUUCAUAGCCCUAUUAGGGAAUCAGGAAUCACAAAAUCCAAUUCUAAUGAAGAAAACUAGACAUUUACGUCUGGUUUCAGGGAGUCAAUGGUUAGGUCCAUGGACUAUAAAUAAAAAGGAAAAGUCUACCUAUUAACCAGGCUUCCAAGCCUCAAAUAUUUCUUUAUAUUUAUUGAUUUAUUCAU